CGGGCUCUCGUUGGACGGGGCGUGCCCGUAUGAACAGCCUUCAGGACCCCAGCCGGCGGUCCGACCUGCCUGAGACCCGGAGGGGGCGAGACUUGAGUUACACACAGUGAACAGCAGGGGACA